CGCAAGGGGAGUUGGCAGACGGGUGAGUAACACGUGGGGAUCUGCCCAAUGGUACGGAAUAGCUCUGGGAAACUGGAAAUAAUACCGUAUGAGCCCGCAAGGGGAAAGAUUUAUCGCCAUUGGAUGAACCCGCGUCGGAUUAGCUAGUUGGUGUGGUAAAGGCGCACCAAGGCGACGAUCCGUAGCUGGUCUGAGAGGAUGAUCAGCCACACUGGGACUGAGACACGGCCCAGACUCCUACGGGAGGCAGCAGUGGGGAAUAUUGGACAAUGGGCGCAAGCCUGAUCCAGCCAUGCCGCGUGAGUGAUGAAGGCCUUAGGGUUGUAAAGCUCUUUCGCCGACGAAGAUAAUGACGGUAGUCGGAGAAGAAGCCCCGGCUAACUUCGUGCCAGCAGCCGCGGUAAUACGAAGGGGGCUAGCGUUGUUCGGAAUCACUGGGCGUAAAGCGCACGUAGGCGGAUAUUUAAGUCAGGGGUGAAAGCCUGGAGCUCAACUCCAGAACUGCCCUUGAUACUGGGUAUCUCGAGUCCGGAAGAGGUAAGUGGAACUGCGAGUGUAGAGGUGAAAUUC
rnacentral:rRNA from 1 species